rnacentral:rRNA from 1 species
GUGGAUUAGAUACCCUGGUAGUCCACGCUGUCAACGAUGUCAACUUGGAGUUUGUGCCACUGAGCGUGGGCUCCGAAGCUAACGCGAUAAGUUGACCGCCUGGGGAGUACGGCCGCAAGGUUAAAACUCAAAUGAAUUGACGGGGGCCCGCACAAGCGGUGGAGCAUGUGGUUUAAUUCGAUGCAACGCGAAGAACCUUACCUGGCCUUGACAUGUCUGGAACCUUGUAGAGAUACGAGGGUGCCUUCGGGAAUCAGAACACAGGUGCUGCAUGGCUGUCGUCAACU